GAUUGUUCUGAUAUUUAUGUUAUUUGCCGGCCUUGGUCGGUCCGUAUUGAGAAAAACUGUGCCCGAGGUCUUUAACAUGGACAUUUCGGAGCGGUCCGUACUCGGGGUCAAGACGGGAAACUCCGGCCGGACCGCUGGAGCGCGCGCGAUUCGCCAAUCAGAUUCAAGGAUUUAGGAUUCGAGACCGCUGAGAAGCUGGAGAAAAAUAUAAAAUGAUUUAAUCAAUGAAAUUGUCAUAACUGUUUUGAACCAUAGGCUCGGUGGCCCUUCGGGAGACAACCGGUAAAUUAAUUAAGUUUCGUUUCUCGGCAAAUUUUUGCCGAAAGCACCGGAAGAGUUCCUGAUUUUAUUAUCCAAUCAUUUAUUUUAACGUCAGCUGACGUCAUCAGGGUACAUGACCUUACUCAGAAAAACUGCUGGCUCAUCAGAUUCCGGAUUCAAAUAAUGACGAUGCUUCAAUUCUCUGAUCCUUCAAGUCCAGUGUCUUGCUGAAAAAGCAUUUUUCGUGCCGGAGGGAAGGAAACCCAAUUUGAGAGAACUCCAGUGUGACAAACCAGGCCACGACAGCCGCGACAGCCACGACAACCUGUUAUGGAUUUCUUAUGAGUUCAAGCUAAGAGCCUCUUACACAUUUAUCCUCCAGGACAAUACCGCCCAAAUGCGUUAGUGUUAUCAUAAUCGCGAGUGUUAUCAUAUUUCCGCCGUUAUAUCCAUUAUUCGGUUUCAGUAUUAUCAGUUUUCGCUAAUCUUGCGUGCAUUAGCGUGCCUUAAGAAAUUUGUCAUGCUCUGAAAAGGAACUACUAAGGUUGUAAAAAUAUUUUCAUAGCCAAAUAAGCCGGAAGGAUAAAUGAAUGCUGAAAUUGAAAUGCGAUGUGUUGGGGGGAAAACAUCAAUGGCCCUCUCUCUUGCGUAGCUAGCGGCAAGCAAAAUAAUGCGAAACCGCCAGUGACCAGGGAAAUAGUCUUCCUUUGUCAACCCUUCCAUCGAGAUGUAUGCGGUAGUUUUACUGUUGAAAGAUUUUUCCGGGUAGAUCUUUUGCUAGUCAUGCUGUUUUCAUAUUUUUGUAGAUAAUCUCGAUUGAAUCCAACAGGGUUAAAAUGUCAAAAGUUAAUUAACAAACAACUGAUACGAGAUGAA